CAGUCGCCACGGGAAUACGGAGGGAGCUAGCGUUGUUCGGAAUUACUGGGCGUAAAGCGCACGUAGGCGGUUAUUCAAGUCAGAGGUGAAAGCCCGGGGCUCAACCCCGGAACUGCCUUUGAAACUAGAUGACUAGAAUCUUGGAGAGGUCAGUGGAAUUCCGAGUGUAGAGGUGAAAUUCGUAGAUAUUCGGAAGAACACCAGUGGCGAAGGCGACUGACUGGACAAGUAUUGACGCUGAGGUGCGAAAGCGUGGGGAGCAAACAGGAUUAGAUACCCGCGUAGUCCCUGUCUCUUAUAC
rnacentral:rRNA from 1 species